rnacentral:rRNA from 1 species
UACGUAUGGUGCAAGCGUUAUCCGGAUUUACUGGGUGUAAUGGGAGCGCAGGCGGCACGGCAAGCCUGAUGUGAAAGCCCGCGGCCCAACCGCGGGACUGCAUUGGGAACUACCGGGCUGGAGUGCCGGAGAGGUAGGCGGAAUUCCUAGUGUAGCGGUGAAAUGCGUAGAUAUUAGGAGGAACACCAGUGGCGAAGGCGGCCUACUGGACGGUGACUGACGCUGAGGCUCGAAAGCGUGGGGAGCAAACAGG